AAAAAAAAGGCAAGCAGGUCUUUCAAGGCAUUCCAAGCAUAAGGAAGAGCAUGAAUGAGGCCUAGAAGGAUGCCAGUGCCCGACGUGACGUGGGAGCCCUUUUCCCAGAGUUACAUGCUGGGCCCAUGAUGGGUGUGGGCCUGCAUGGGACAGGAGAGCUUGUUGCAGAGAUGUGAUGCUAGGCUGAGGUGUCUUAUCCCGUGCAGUCUUUCCUGUCUGUCUUCCGCUCACUGGCGAUGCUGGAGAAGACGGUGGAAAAAUGCUGCAUCUCCCUGAACGGCCGGAGCAGCCGCCUGGUGGUCCAGCUGCAUUGCAAGUUCGGUGAGUGGGCAGCCGGCCAGCCAAGGGGUGCCUCAGCAGGGAGGUCGGCGAGGCCCACUGAGACCCUAUCGCCUAUCCAGGGGUGCGGAAGACUCACAACCUGUCCUUCCAGGACUGUGAGUCCCUGCAGGCCGUCUUCGACCCAGCCUCGUGCCCCCACAUGCUCCGCGCCCCAGCACGGGUUCUGGGGGAGGCUGUUCUGCCCUUCUCUCCUGCACUGGCUGAAGUGACGCUGGGCAUUGGCCGUGGCCGCAGGGUCAUCCUGCGCAGCUACCACGAGGAGGAGGCAGACAGCACUGCCAAAGCCAUGGUGACUGAAAUGUGCC
rnacentral:lncRNA from 1 species